rnacentral:rRNA from 1 species
GUGGGGAAUAUUGGGCAAUGGGCGAAAGCCUGACCCAGCAACGCCGCGUGAAGGAAGAAGGUUUUCGGAUCGUAAACUUCUAUCCUUGGUGAAGAUAAUGACGGUAGCCAAGAAGGAAGCCCCGGCUAACUACGUGCCAGCAGCCGCGGUAAUACGUAGGGGGCAAGCGUUGUCCGGAAUGAUUGGGCGUAAAGGGCGCGUAGGCGGCCCGGUAAGUCUGAAGUGAAAGUCCUGCUUUUAAGGUGGGAAUUGCUUUGGAUACUGGCGGGCUUGAGUGCAGGAGAGGUAAGCGGAAUUCCCGGUGUAGCGGUGAAAUGCGUAGAGAUCGGGAGGAACACCAGUGGCGAAGGCGGCUUACUGGACUGUAACUGACGCUGAGGCGCGAAAGUGUGGGGAGCAAACAGGAUUAGAAACCCCAGUAGUCC